GUGGAGGUCCUGGGUUGGCGUGGUUACCCGUGGUCUGCGGUUGUGAGGCCGGUUGGACGUACAGUUUAACUAACAAUAAAGGGCAGACACUGUAAUGAUCAUGACUCCACAGUAGGUGGCAGCAGUCAGACGUGGGCUAUGUCAGGGCGAUGCUGAUCAUUCAGAUAGAAAUGUAUUGUGUAGAAUGCAGAAUAGGGAGUCAUGUCCCAGCGCUAUUUAUUGAGUUUCUAUCUGCAAAGUUCUGAAUGUUUCACCUCUUUGAUACACCCUAGUUGUGUGUAAGGUGUGCCAUGCUCAGAAUGCCUAAUGUUCUCUAUGUAAUAACCAUAGAUAUGGUAAUAACGUCAGUGUCAUCCAGAUAAAAUAUUCGAUUGGCUGAUGAUAUUGAGGAAGUCACCUGACACCUUCAGCAGCACUGUUUGGAGUACUACACAAUAAUCAGAACAUUACAGAUAAGCCUUACUGGACAAGUGUACUUAGGAUGGGGUGCAGAGUGUUCCUGGCUUUUAUACUGGGUGUUUGUCUACUGUCACACUGCCAAAGCAAACAUUUGCUGCGGUUUUUGACCUUCUGCCAAAAAAACGUCACUAGCGACGAAGAGUAUGACGUGGAGUUUGAUGGAGAUGAGCUCUUCUACCCAGCAGUGGACCCCUGACCCAGGACUGCCUCACGACGUGUACGUGUCCCUCGGAACCUGCCAGUGCAACGUCACCCGUUGCAUUGUGGGAGAAAAGAGCCCGCCAGAGGCAAUAGGUGAGAGAACGAAGGAGUGCCCAAAUUAGAAUGGGUGACUGGAUGCACCAUGGCUCUCUGCUGGGUCUAUUGGGUGGCUGGACUUUCUGCCAUUCAGACCCGGGCAACACCAGCAGGUGGGUAGCAGUUCCAGGGGAUACUUGACUGUGAAUAUGAUGACACCACUGAUAAUAUGAUCUACUUUUGUGAAAAACAUAUUCAACCAAAAAUUGACCACCAUCUAUGACUCCAGGGUUCAGAAGUAUGUGGGUUUUGGGGAGUUUGGCAUACGCAAUGCAGAUCACUACAACAGCCAAGCUUGGGAAAUGGCUAUAAGGAAAGCAGAAGUGGAGACUAUUUGCCGAUACAGUGCAAGAUACUUCAAACUGAGCACUUUGGAAAGAAUAGGUCAACUGCAUCAUGAACAUCAUAACCAGUCCCAGGACAUUUGACCCAAGAACCUGGUUGCCUCUGCCAGGAGGCUGACACUUGGCCACAAGUGGAUCUUCCAGCAAGGCAAUAACCCCCAAGCACACAUCACAAUCCACCAAGAAAUGGUUAAUUGACUACAAAA